UCUCUGCUUAGUAGUCUGACCCAUUUUUUUCCAACCUGUCCGUUUUAAAUCACAAAUAUGGAAUGGAAAUUUCCCUAGCCUCUUUCUCCUAAGAGUGUCCGUUCAGCCUGCAAUUCCGAGGAAACAUCUCGAAAACAAGGCUGUGGGCACAAAGCAAGCUCAAGCGGAAGUUUUAGGCUUGGAAAAACAGAGGGGCUCUGAGCCCUCGAGUGUGCCCUGGACGGCGACUUACCAAAGCCGAGUAUCGAAUGCUGUCAGCUGUCUGGGUGUCUGCAAACUUCAGGACUGGUGAGCCCCGAAGUUGCUGUACGGUUUGAAGGUCCUGGGUACACAGACAGCGCUGGAAUGACGAACCUGGGACCUGGAAGGACCCACAUACAAGUUCUAUAUAGGUUCCAAUGGACUUUUCCAGCCACUUCUUUUGUAUUCAGUACUUUGGGAUGACUCUGUACAUAGAUGAAACCAAUAAUGUACUACAGGUUCCAACUGAGAAGAGAAAGUAUGGUUGACUGAGGUUACGAAAAGCAGAAAGCAAUUCAAAUAGACAAACCCCUCUACCAGGAAAAGAUGAGUGGCCUUUCUCCCAGUCUUGGUUGGUAUCAGCUUUAAACCAUGUCCAUCAAACAGUCUUCACAAGGGUCCGGAGAACCUCUUCAUCUCCUUGCUUCUAUGAAAUCCUCUCAUUAUUUGGGUAAGGCCACUCUUAGGAUCAUUGGUUGCUAUUCUCACCCUCUCUUUUAUACUACCAUGUCUGUUUCAGUAUUUACAGGAUGUGAUAAUGGAACGAAUCAAGGCCUUCAACAACCAGGCAGUCAACCAAAUGCUGCUUCAGGGAUAUACUCGGCUCCCCAUCCAGGAGACGGCAGCUUGAGACAUCACCCCACAUGUCUCUAAAGAGGAAGUAGCUCUAAAGACAGAUCAUCGUCCCUCUCCCCCUCCUGUACUUUAAUGUAAUCCCAUACAACUCCUGCUUUAUAAAAAAAAAAAAAAAAAAACAAAAGGGGGAAUGUUAGUAAAAUGGCACAAUCUACACCCCAGCACCAUUCUAGGCUCUGCCGCUGCCACCAUGGCUGGAAGCCAGGUGGCCCAACCACUGGUGUCAGCUCUAUCCCCACCCUAACAGGAUUCACUGCUCCUACUUCCCUGUCUGCCUCCUGACAAAGUUUUAAAAGGACCUGUUCCUGAACAUGGGGCUCUCUUUCUGUCUCCCUCUUGUCCUUAUUUGCCCCUUCCCUCCAGUCUGUCAAGUUUCCCCCAAUAAACUCUUUCCCUUAAAAAAAAAGUGAUAGCUGCAUAAGUAGUAUACCAGUAGCUUGAUAAUGCAUGUCUUCUCAGUAUAGUCACACAUUAAAAACUACAUUUUCCUGAGGAACACAUGUGACUAUAGAAGCAACAGUGGGGGUUAAGUGGGUGUUUGA